AAGCAUGCUAUCCUAAGGACAGGAGCUUGUUUGUAGCUUCGUGUUCUCCAAGUGCAUGCCAGAAAACAGGGCGGUCUUUGACUGUUGUGGCCCCUUUUGCCAACACCAGCCACUCAACUGUCCUACAGAU